rnacentral:rRNA from 1 species
CUACAGGCUUAACACAUGCAAGUCGAGGGGCAGCAUGGUCUUAGCUUGCUAAGGCUGAUGGCGACCGGCGCACGGGUGAGUAACACGUAUCCAACCUGCCGUCUACUCUUGGCCAGCCUUCUGAAAGGAAGAUUAAUCCAGGAUGGCAUCAUGAGUUCACAUGUCCGCAUGAUUAAAGGUAUUUUCCGGUAGACGAUGGGGAUGCGUUCCAUUAGAUAGUAGGCGGGGUAACGGCCCACCUAGUCAACGAUGGAUAGGGGUUCUGAGAGGAAGGUCCCCCACAUUGGAACUGAGACACGGUCCAAACUCCUACGGGAGGCAGCAGUGAGGAAUAUUGGUCAAUGGGCGAUGGCCUGAACCAGCCAAGUAGCGUGAAGGAUGACUGCCCUAUGGGUUGUAAACUUCUUUUAUAAAGGAAUAAAGUCGGGUAUGCAUACCCGUUUGCAUGUACUUUAUGAAUAAGGAUCGGCUAACUCCGUGCCAGCAGCCGCGGUAAUACGGAGGAUCCGAGCGUUAUCCGGAUUUAUUGGGUUUAAAGGGAGCGUAGAUGGAUGUUUAAGUCAGUUGUGAAAGUUUGCGGCUCAACCGUAAAAUUGCAGUUGAUACUGGAUGUCUUGAGUGCAGUUGAGGCAGGCGGAAUUCGUGGUGUAGCGGUGAAAUGCUUAGAUAUCACGAAGAACUCCGAUUGCGAAGGCAGCCUGCUAAGCUGCA